rnacentral:rRNA from 1 species
GACGAACCGUGCGAACGUUAUUCGGAAUCACUGGGCUUAAAGCGCGUGUAGGCGGGCGGGUACGUCGGCGACUGAAAGCCCCCGGCUCAACCGGGGAAGGGGUGCCGAAACGGCCGGCCUGGAGGGGCGUAGGGGGACCUGGAACUUCCGGUGGAGCGGUGAAAUGCGUAGAUAUCGAGAGGAACACCUGCGGCGAAGGCGGGUUGCUGGGCUGACACUGACGCUGACAGCGCGAAAGCUAGGGGAGCGAACGGG